UGUGAAUUGCAGAAUCCCGUGAACCAUCGAGUCUUUGAACGCAAGUUGCGCCCGAAGCCUUCGGGCCGAGGGCACGCCUGCCUGGGCGUCACGC
rnacentral:rRNA from 1 species